GUGCAGUAGCUGUUAGUAUUUUCUUUCUGAGAAAUGGCAUGAAAAGAGAUUAAGCUCCACUUGUCUGUGUUGUCUCUCAUUUCCAGUUGAACUUUUUUCUAUUGUAGAAAAUAUCUAAUUCCUUCUCUGAUAGAACAUUAUGAUUCACAGCAGAAAGCAUGGGAUCUUUUACUUAAAAAUACAUAUCCAAAAUUAUAUAAGCAGAGGUCCAGCAUGAUAGAUAAAGAUAACAGGAUUAAUAAAUCCUGUGUUUGUUUCAGUACCCGUAUUGUAUAUUUCUGAUUCUUAGUCUGUGCUCGGUAAUGCAGUGUGAUGUUCCAGGUUCUUGAAGUAGAAGCAAAGGAUAUAACCAAUAUAGAGGGGAUGGCACAGUGGGAGAUUUCAAAUAAACUGCUGGAGGUACAGUUUUCUGGCACUAAUCAAAUUCUCUUGACUAAAAAUACUGGUCUGCUUUUAUUUCAGCAUCUCACUUGGAAAAAAACACUGACCUGCCCUGGAAAAGGAAGUGGCAUUAUAGUAAUGAAGAAAGAGGAUUGAUGAGAAUAUAUUUGCUCUCAAACAUGAUUCCCAAAUUUGGGCUACUGUCUCAGUCACUUAAGCCCCUCAAGUGAGACCAUGACCCAGAAAAACAAUCCUAUCAUUCCCCCGUCACAUAUUUCCACUGCUUCUCUUGAGCUAGUAAUGACAUCAGCACACAUUAUUUGGUAAGCUGGGUUAGAAACUAUUUGAAAACCUUUUGGGCUCAGUUAGCUUCUACCAACCCAGGCUCCUAAUGUAGUUUCCUAUGUGGCCACACAAAUAAUAAUGUUGUCAGAGAGGAGCAGACACGAUCAUGCACGUGGAACAUCAGGACAGCCAGUUUUAUAACAGUGCACAUGUGAUUUAGAUAUAUGAUAGCAUGUUUUGGCUUUCUGGGGUGAUCUAUGUAAAAGUUAAACUGUAUCAUCUAAGGAAACGAAAGUUCACAACUUGUGCAUUUAUGUGCAGAAGGAAACAAUACAAUUAUUUUCUUUCCUCUGGUCACGUACUGUGGUUGCUUACAGGGAAAGGAAAGAGGGACAGUUUUGUGUCCAUAUGUGUUUGCCAUUUUGAAAUAAUUUGUGUACUUUUAGCAGGAUCUAGGGAUUCUGUAUAUUGGAAACUUCUUUUGUAGGGUGAGAUUUUCAAUGGUGCAAGUUAAAGUUAGGCUAUUGAUUCUGGUUUACUUUCACUGGCAGUGAGGCAUUUACUGCCAAAGUACAGGGUGGCAAAUCUGCCUUCUGAAGUUACCCUCUUGGAUACAUUCAAGUGUUGUUGUCAUUGGGCCUAAGUGAUUUGAUGCAGGGUCAGUGGAAAUACACUUUAUGAAAUGACCUGUUCUGUAUGAAAAAAAAAAAAGAGUAUUCCUAAUAAAUACAGAUGUGCUGAAGCUGAGCAGUGACUGUUAGAGAGAUGAUGGAGUGAAUAGCUGCUCAGGUCUUGGAGUUGUUGGGAAUCUCCCUAUUGACAGACCUUACAAUUCAGUUGUCAGUGAUUCAUUAUUCUGCAGGCUUCUAACAUUACUGCUUCAUUAGUACCUGCAAUUGACUGUUGUCAACAGGAUUGUGCGUGAUAAAUGGUAUAGAUAAAACUUAGAGUCUGUGAGCCCUAACAAUCUAGAUGAGUGAUAGAAAAUAUAUUUUGCAUUAUUUUAAUAUAUAGUUUUUCUCCUUUUAUUGGCUACACUGUGGCCAGCAGCAUGGUUUAUCAUGAACCUUGAUGCUUUGCCAACAUGUAUUUGAUGAGAAGUAUUAGCCACCACCAAGACAUAUUUUAGCUAUGUAGACAGUCCCAUACCAGCUGUGAAUUCUUAACAUAUCUCAGCCUGAACAACUGGGAAAAUUAUGAAACCAGUUUACAGACUCAGAAAAAAAUACUGUAUUAUCAUUAUGGAUAAACCACAGUUUUAAACAGUGAGAUGUAUCUUUAGCAACUUUAUUAUGGACCAAGACAAUGAAGAGACUUUGAAUAACUUGAAUACAUAAAGUCCAAAGAGUGGAUUUCAUCAGCUUCAGACCUUUAAGGGACAACUGCAAGCAUUUGACCUGAAGUACCUAAACACUCCAAAGAAAGAGUUUUGCUUUGUAAUCUUGUACCAAAUUUUGCAGUUCCCAUAAUUCAACCCAGAUGAUAAAUUAUUUUAAUUCAGAGACUGCAGAAACAAAAAAUGUUUUCUUUUAGAAAUGUCAUCUUUUAAAAUUGCUUUUACCAUUUAUUGAAUUUUUUUUCUGCUAUUUUAGAAAUUUUAUAAUAAAAUUUGAAGAAGAUGUGCAUAUGCUUAUAGACAGAUAUUCUGUCUUUUAUUGUACAAGAUACCUUUCUGGUUUUAGAAAUUAAAUUGAGGAGGUCUGUCUUCUCAGUUUGGAGCAAAAAAUAUCUAGGAGAGCUGCAAUUUAUAUUAAUAUAUUGCAAUAAAAUUUCAUGUUAUUUAUUGGGACUUAGUAAACUGUCAAAAUUUGUGACACUUUAAAGUCCCUGAAAUGUAAAAAUCUGGUGUCUCUGUCCUUGCUAGUUGAGUAGCUUUAAAAUACAUGGGCAGACUCAUCAUCAUAUUAUUCAUUUUUUUUAAAGUGUCACACUCAUGAGUGCAACAAAAUUAUGCUACAACAAACCUAGUAUUGCAGGGAACUGGGCCUAAGAAAAUAACUGUUCUAAUGCACGUUAUUUCCUGUAGCACUCCCCAAGGGGUAUUUUAUGAGUGACAAAGGUCUAUCAGGUGAGGACACUGGUCAAGUGUUGGCUGAAGAGUUCCACCAGAAAAGGGCAGCAUUAACUUGAAAUGAAAAACAGUAAGCUAGAUCCUAAUUUGAGAUAAAAAUGUCUUCAUAAAUUAUAUUCUCUUUAAUUUGAAGUGUAAUUCAAACUUAAUAUAUCCUUCCCAAGGGUAGUCAGCAGUUUUCUACAGAAAUUGCUGUGCUGAGUUCCCCAUUUAGCCACACAUUGCUAGAUGCAAUGGGAGAUCACAAAGCCUUCUGACUGGCCAGCUGCUAACAUUCCAGGACUGCAGGACAGUAAAAAUAUACAAUAAUUUCCUCAUUAAGAGUUUAAAAAGUAUUCCCUGAUUUUGUUUAAAAAGUAACUUCAAAUUAGUAAUUUUGCCUUUUGAUUAUUUAGAAUAAUUGCAAAUUUGUAUUAAAGUAUUUUUAUUAUUUGUACUUCCUGGGUUUAUUUUUGUUUGUUAGGACACUCUAUUCUUUAUUUUACCACAUGAUCCUACUUUUUUAUUUGCUUUAGUUCUUGUUACUUUCAACUGUGUGAAAUGGAUCCACAGACAUCCAGCAGGAAGCGUUUGUAGGUCAGUGACUAAUUUUUCCAGGCCCAUUUUGCAGACUGGUGAUUUAUACCAACUCUAUUUAUAGAGAAAAUAUGACUUUUUAAACAUACAAGCUUACUCUUCUCACAUUGGCAUUUCUUCUGUCAGCUGAUAUAUCUGCUUGUUAAGUGAUGAUGGCAGCAAAGUUAGGGAUUUACACAAGAGGCAAAAUGCAUUUCAAUGUACAAGAAUUUGUUUCACAUUUAAUGAGAGGUACUGGCACUGUCUGAGUGAAGCAAUGUUAGUGUGCCCAUCAGGAGUACCACAAUAGGAUAGAAUAUGUAUGAUUACAGAGUAAUACAGCCAUUUUAUUUAUUUGGUUCCCUUUCCUAUGACACAUGAACAACUUGCUGUUUUAAAGAUUUUAGUCUUAAAAAUACUCUUUAAUACACUGAGUUUAUAUUGUUCCCAUUACACUGAAAGGAAUCUGAGAAACAAGGAUGAAGGGAUUUUCAAAAGUCUUGUACACAGUCUGCAAUGGAGCAAAAAACUGAAUUUGGGUUUCUUGACUACAUGCAAAUCAGUGUAUGGUUAUUUGUGAAAAUAAAGCAAGCAGUACAGCUCUCUCUGUGACUAUGUAGUUUAAAAUGUAGUAACAAGCAGAAAGAGUUCAGGCUUUCUCUUCAGAUCACCUAUGAUGUGUCUGACAGCAACUGAAGUAAAAAUAAAGCAAACUUCACCUGGUUAAAGGAGAAAGUUUUUCCUUCCUUUUUUGCCAAAGUAGUAGAAAUUUAUUCUAAUGAUCAUGCCACCUUUUGCUGUAUUUGAGGUAAAAAUUUUAAAUGUUCAUAUGGGAGCCUCAAUUUCAAUUCUGUAAGAUUGGUUUUGUCUUGGAUAUUUUUUCAUUGAGAGGGAAAGGACCCUGUAAAAAAUACAAAUAAUUGAAUGUUUUAAUCACAUGUGUAGGCCAGCAUUUCUGCUCAAAGGACAGAGAUAGCAAUGUCCAUUCAUGGUGGACAGAGUUCAGUGUUCAAACAGAAAAUGAAGAAAAACUUUUGGUCCAUUUAGGUGCAUAGCUUUCAAUCUUACACUAUUUUUCAAAGUACUGCCUAACACCAUGCAGGACCUGAGGAAAUUGAACAAAAUCUUUAAGAAAUACACACUCAAAAUGAUAUAUCUGCUGUUUGUUAAGUACAUUAAUUAAUUUUUGGUUCAUUACCUCUCAGUUUGAUAUUUCCAUUUUCUGCAUUUUCCAGGCAUAUACACAGAAACUUAGGGGAUUUGUCUUGAGAAGGGUGAUUUUUGACCUCUCUGCAAUUCUAAAUAAGUUGCUAUAGGUAUUUAUAAUUGCGGUUAGUACCUUGGUAAAAAUCAACAAGGUUCAUGCCUGGACAAUUCUCUAUUGAAAAGACAUUUGCACACUUCAGGAGCUUUAAUUUUCAUACUGAAAAUUUCCACAUUCUUUCAUUUCACCUCCUGAUCUGAAAGUUAACUGAGAAAAGUUUAUUUUAUUUUCAUUCAAUAUAGAUGUUAAUAUUUAGCAGAACUUUACUCAGUUUGAGAAUGUGUUUCACAGAACAGUUCUUUAGAUUAGUCAGUACAGAUCACCCUACAUAGCUUGAUUCCCUGGCUCUGUUAACUUUUCUUCACAUCUGUUCUUCAAACAAAGCUUUGUUGUUCUAGUUAAAAAGGCUGGUCUUCUAGGGAGCUGUAGGCUAAAGUAAUAAACUUUGCUGAUGCUCUUCAUAUAGAAGGCUCAGCCUGAGCACAUCUAUGUACAGACACAUGCUUUUCUGGUGAGCUUUAUUUCCAAAUACUUGAGCCCCUUGCAUAUUAGCCUAUAUUAGUUCACAAUACAGGAUUUGUAAGCUCAUACUUUUACUAGGUAUUUAGAGUUGGGUACAAAUGUGGGUGUUUUUUUUUUAUUUCCUUAGAUGAAUUUGGGAUAAAUAAUUUCUAUCUGAACAUGCUAUCCCAGAUUGCUGGACCUGGUUCAGAUCUCUCUCUUAGUGUAAACUAGGACUAGCUUAAUUGAAACUAAAGAAGAUGGAUUUUAUUAGACUUGUAUGAAAUCAGAACAGAUCAACAGAUAUGUCUUUACAGAAUGGGUUCUCUCACAAGCAAAAAGGACUAAAACAGAGUAGGCUCUUAUUCAUACUCCAUAUAAACUCUAGCAGGCAAAGUGCUUUGUGGCACCACUGCCUGUUUUUAGACACUGUUUUGUGUAGUUAGGCUUUUCUCUACUAGAGGUUUUAUUGUUCAAGAAGGGGUACUCCCACCCUUGCUCAUAGUCAUCAAGCCAUACUAUUGGGCAAUUAAUGCUCUUUACGUGCCAAGAUCUCAGACUAAGAAAAGGCAGCCAAUCCUGAUAUAGGAAGACACACACUGGCACCAAAAAAAUAUCUAACUAGGGAGACAAUGAAGAGAGAGAGAAACACAGAAAGAGACUGUAUGGAAUUGUGCUCUAUCUGCCUAUGUCAGUAGCAUCAGGGGCAAUGUUGUUUUUCCCCAGUGGUUUUCCAAUAUAGUUACUCCAUUCACUGAUGAAUGAAGAGUAUGUGAAACUGUGCCAAAGCUAAUCCAAUUGAAUUCCACCCAGCUGGUUAAAUCCAAUUGCCCAUGCCUUCCUUCAUAGUGCAAAAGCAUCCACGGUACAAUUUGCUAAACUGACCCCUCCUCUCCCAAUUCCCAUGGCAGAUCUAUGCUGUAUGGGUCAUCUUCCCUUGUAUGCAUAAUGCAUGGGUUUCUGGCUCCUUCCAAGUACAGAUCUUACCUUGCUCCACCCCUGAAAAUUAGAAAUAGUUAUAUAUAAAUAUUCCUGUAUAGUUGUUCUUGAAGUGGUUCACCUAAACCAAUGAACAAUCUCCCUAGCUGAGGGGGAAAGUACCUCUUGCUGCCGUGAUUUCAAGCUGGUGAAUAAUAUGGCAAUAAUAAUGAAAAAUAAUAUAAUUAAACUUAUCUGGGAUAAGAGAAAACUCUCUUAAUCCCGGAAGAAUCAACAUCCUGAGCAAAGGGGAAAUCUGCCACAGGAGUAUUGCAUCCAGAUCCAUGGGGGUGGGAAUCUAAGGCAAGAUCCACAAGGGCAUUCUCUGGAGGAACACAGUGACAAGCUUUGCUGUGUGGGUUGGGUCAGAAUCGAGCAUGAUGCAUUCUGAGCUUGCCUUGAGGAAGAAAGUAUUUUACUGCUACUGAAUUUAGGCUUGUAACUAUAAAUGUAAGUAAUAACACAUAGAAUUAUCAGAGGGAUAAUAAUUAACCUUCCUCAGGUGUGUUCAUCACUGUGAUUUUAGUUGAUUUAGAAUUUAAUAUUAUAGUAAAAAGAGAUUAAGCUAUUACAGAGUUUUUGGUAUGACCCAGUUGACCAGAUGGAAAAUGGUGACAAGUGGUGUCCUUCAGGAGUCCAUACUGGGACCAGUGCUGUUUAAUAUCUUCAUUAAUGAUAUUGACAGUGGCAUUGAGAGCACCCUCAGCAGGUUUGCUGAUGACACCACGCUGGCUGGUGUGGUUGAUAUGCCAGAAGGAUAGGAUGCCAUCCAGAGGGACCUGGACAAGCUGGAGAGGUGGGCCCAGGUGAACUUCAUGAGGUUCAACAAGGCCAAGUGCAGGGUCCUGCACCUGGGUCAGGGCAACCAGAGAUAACAGUAGAGGCUGGGAGAAGAUAUGCUAAAGAGCAGUCCUAUGGAAAAAGACCUGUGGGUGGUAGUGGAUCAAAAGUUGGACAUGAGCCAGCAACGUGCAAUUGCAGCUCAGAAGGCCAACUGCAUCCUGGGCUGCAUCAAAAGAAGUGUGGCCAGCAGAUCAGGAGAGGUGAUUCUGCCCCUCUACUUUGCCCUGGUGAGACCUCACCUGCAGUACUGUGUCCAGCUCUGGAGCCCCCAACACAGCCAGGACAGGAACUUGUUGGAAUGUGUCCAGAGGAGAGCAACAAAAAUUAUCAGAGGGCUGGAGCACCUCUCUUCUGAAGACAGGCUGAGAGAGUUGAGGUUGUUCAGCCUGAAGAGCAGAAGACUCCAGGGGAACCUUAUAGCAACCUUCUAAUACCUCAUAGGGGCCUGUAAGAAGGCUGGGGAAGACCUGUUCAUAAGGGCAUGUAACAAUGGGACAAGGGGUAAUGGUUUUAAGCUAGAAAAGUGUAGUUUUGGCUGGAUGUUAGGAAAAAGUUAUUUGAGGGUGGUGGAUCACUGGAACAGGUUACCUAGAGAGGUGGUGGAGGCCCCAUCCUUGGAGACAUUCAAGGUCAGGCUUGAUGAGGCACUGAGCAACCUCUUCUAGUUGGAAAUGUACCUGCUUAUUGAAGGGGGGUUUAGAGCAAAUGUGUGCCCAAAUAGGAAGGUAUUGUGUGACACAGCUUUCUCAGACUGCAUUGGAAAGACAGCAGAAUCAAAAGAUCUGGUUGUCACCAAUCACGUACCAUAAGGAUUUCUUUUUAAACUGUGCUUCUUAUGUUUGGCUUGCAAGCAGAAAGUAGUAAUGGAUUAAAUAAAAUUCAUUAUUUUAUCUAUUCAAAAUAGAUUAAAAGCUUACCUAAGCAAAACUGUGACCCGACCUACAUCUGCUGGUCUGAAACAGAUUUUUCAACAAUGUUCCAGGAAGACUUCAAGCACAAAAUAUAAUGGAUCACAUAAUUAAUACUUAACCUAUUAAAUUCCAUUUUCUUCUGUGUAGUGGAGAUGCUACAGAUUUAAAAAUAUCUUUGUGCAGGAAUAAGCCCUUUGUAAACAGAGAUACCAGAGUGCUGACCAGUCUUGAAAUCCUUGGCCUUAGUUAAGGAGCUUUAUGGUGUUCCUCAGCUGAUGCAUGAAGAUGCUCAGGAGGGCAGACUCAUUAAAAUACAUCAUCUUAAACCUCAAGAAUGGAAUGUUCUCUAAUUAAGGAGAGACACAAAAGAUCUUGUGACAUACAUGGCAUCUAAGCAUGUCAGUAAGCUCUUAUGUACCAGCAGGAGACCAUUACCUUAGAGCAGCAUUCCUUCUCUUUGACUUUAAAUAUGUAUUGUCAUUAGAAUACACUUCAGCAAGCUUUUAGGGUGAAGAGAAGAGGAACAGAAGUAUAUGAAAAAUUCAGAACAAAAGAAUGCAAGGUAGGAAUAGCUACCUAUGAAGCCACAUAGUGAUUACAUGGUCACAACUGAUGAUUGCAACUUUUAAAUGCUUAAUAUUUAAAAGCUUUUUAAAUGUUUACUUUUAGAAUAUUAGUUUAAAAUACAAACCAAAGUUUAAAUAAUUCCUUUUUGAUGAAGAAAACAUGCCCUUUUAAGUUCUGCUUAUCUACUUAGAGAAACAGGCUUUGCAUUUUACCCAUUUCCAUCAUUACGUUAUUGCUUGUUUUGUUUCAAAGCUUAUGAAAAUUGUGGAAAAAGUAUAAAUUCCAAGAUUUGACAAAUGAUUUGCCACAAUAGAUGUAGAGCUGUUAAGAAGAUUCUAAGUAAUUAGGGGUAAUGACAUAUUUGCUGUAUGCAUGCCUAGAAAAUUUAGCGGGAUUGGUACAGCAAGACAAGGCAACACAAUGGAUUCCCCAUUGACAUUCCCCAAGCAUGUAUUUAGAAGACAAUGGCACUAUUGCCCUAGCAGUAGUCAUGCUGGGAGACGACUGGUCAAAAAGGCCAUAAAUGGGUUAGAAAGUGUCUCCAGUUCCUGCAGGUAGGAUUAAACAGGGCAGGUCAGGGAGCCACAGCAGGCAAGCAACCAGAUAAUUCUACAGUGAUGUCUCCAGCUCUGUUGAGGUUCUGUGAGAUCUGGUAAGCGAGGCAUUUCAGUAACUGUGUGUUAUUCUAUUGCAUGUAUACUAAGAUGAUUUGUAUUUGAAAUUUUCUUACUGCUGCUUAUGCCCAUUAGAGAUUUAAUCGGUGCUGCAGACGAGGACAGUUUAUGCCCUGGCCUAGUGUGAGCAGAAAAGCAGGCUGCAAGCAGGCUCAGCUGACAGCUGAAGAGGAGGGUGUGGUCCAAAGGAGGAGAAUGAAGUGCCCUCAGCAUGCAAGGGCCUACACGGUGGUGGACAUGACCAUGAGUUACCAUGAGGUCCUACAAGAUAAUAUUACUAAAGGAGAGCACCAGCAAAUACUUUAUUGCCUUUUGUUUAGAUGCAAACUACUGGAGACAGUAAUAAAACAUGUUAAACCUAUUAUUAUUCAUCUUAAACUAUGAAAACACAAAGGGACGAUGCAACUCACCAACCCAUGUGUCUGGGAGCGUCACAAAGUUGAAGAAAACAUCCUCAAAAUAGGUUGGUGUUUUGUUUUUGUUUUUAUUAUUUUUUUAAUUCUUUCUGUUUCUCUGUACCCCAUCAGGGUACACUUGCAUCAAAUAAACGUUCAAAGAUAGUGA